rnacentral:rRNA from 1 species
AGGGAAUCUUCCACAAUGGGCGAAAGCCUGAUGGAGCAACGCCGCGUGAGUGAAGAAGGAUUUCGGUUCGUAAAACUCUGUUGUAAGGGAAGAACAAGUACAGUAGUAACUGGCUGUACCUUGACGGUACCUUAUUAGAAAGCCACGGCUAACUACGUGCCAGCAGCCGCGGUAAUACGUAGGUGGCAAGCGUUGUCCGGAAUUAUUGGGCGUAAAGCGCGCGCAGGUGGUCCUUUAAGUCUGAUGUGAAAGCCCACGGCUCAACCGUGGAGGGUCAUUGGAAACUGGGGGACUUGAGUGCAGAAGAGGAUAGUGGAAUUCCAAGUGUAGCGGUGAAAUGCGUAGAGAUUUGGAGGAACACCAGUGGCGAAGGCGACUAUCUGGUCUGUAACCGACACUGAGGCGCGAAAGCGUGGGGAGCAAAC